CUCCGGUUGAUCCUGCCGGACCUGACUGCUAUCGGAUUGGUACUAAGCCAUGCGAGUCGUUGUAGCAAUACAAGGCGGACGGCUCAGUAACACGUAGUCAACCUAACCUAUGGACGUGGAUAACCUCGGGAAACUGAGAAUAAACCGCGAUAGAUCAUUAUGCCUGGAAUGGCUUAUGGUUCAAACAAUUUAUUGCCGUAGGAUGGGACUGCGGCCUAUCAGCUUGUUGGUGAGGUAAUGGCCCACCAAGGCUAUAACAGGUACGGGCUCUGAGAGGAGAAGCCCGGAGAUGGGUACUGAGACACGGACCCAGGCCCUAUGGGGCGCAGCAGGCGAGAAACCUUAGCAAUGUGCGAAAGCACGACUAGGUUAAUCCGAGUGAUUUCUGUUGAAGAAAUCUUUUGUCAGUCGUAAAACCACAGACGAAUAAGGGGUGGGCAAGUCUGGUGUCAGCCGCCGCGGUAAUACCAGCACCUCGAGUGGUCAGGAGGUUUAUUGGGCCUAAAGCAUCCGUAGCCGGCUACGCAAGUCUCCGGUUAAAUCCAGCUGCUCAACAGAUGGGCUGCCGGAGAUACUACAUAGCUAGGGAGCGGGAGAGGUAGACGGUAUUCUGUGGGUAGGGGUAAAAUCCACUGAUCCAUAGAGGACCACCAGUGGCGAAGGCGGUCUACCAGAACGCGUUCGACGGUGAGGGAUGAAAGCUGGGGGAGCAAACCGGAUUAGAUACCCGGGUAGUCCCAGCUGUAAACGAUGCAAACUCGGUGAUGCAUUGGCUUAUGGCCAAUGCAGUGCCGCAGGGAAGCCGUUAAGUUUGCCGCCUGGGAAGUACGGACGCAAGUCUGAAAACUUAAGGGAAUUGGCGGGGGAGCA
rnacentral:rRNA from 1 species